GAUGAACGCUGGCGGCGUGCCUAAUACAUGCAAGUCGAGCGAACGGACGAGAAGCUCGCUUCUCUGAUGUUAGCGGCGGACGGGUGAGUAACACGUGGAUAACCUACCUAUAAGACUGGGAUAACUUCGGGAAACCGGAGCUAAUACCGGAUAAUAUUUUGAACCGCAUGGUUCAAAAGUGAAAGACGGUCUUGCUGUCACUUAUAGAUGGAUCCGCGCUGCAUUAGCUAGUUGGUAAGGUAACGGCUUACCAAGGCAACGAUGCAUAGCCGACCUGAGAGGGUGAUCGGCCACACUGGAACUGAGACACGGUCCAGACUCCUACGGGAGGCAGCAGUAGGGAAUCUUCCGCAAUGGGCGAAAGCCUGACGGAGCAACGCCGCGUGAAUGAUGAAGGUCUUCGGAUCGUAAAACUCUGUUAUUAGGGAAGAACAUAUGUGUAAGUAACUGUGCACAUCUUGACGGUACCUAAUCAGAAAGCCACGGCUAACUACGUG
rnacentral:rRNA from 1 species